GAUGGUUCAUUCAAAUUUCUGCCCUAUCAACUUUCGAUGGUAGGAUAGUGGCCUACCAUGGUUUCAACGGGUAACGGGGAAUUAGGGUUCUAUUCCGGAGAGGGAGCCUGAGAAACGGCUACCACAUCCAAGGAAGGCAGCAGGCGCGCAAAUUACCCAAUCCCGACACGGGGAGGUAGUGACAAUAAAUACUGAUACAGGGCUCUUUUGGGUCUUGUAAUUGGAAUGAGUACAAUUUAAAUCCCUUAACGAGGAACAAUUGGAGGGCAAGUCUGGUGCCAGCAGCCGGGGUAAUUCCAGCUCCAUUAGCGUAUAUUAAAGUUGUUGCAGUUAAAAAGCUCGUAGUUGAAACUUGGACUUGGAUGGUCGGUCCGACUCACCUGGUGCACUGAUCCGGCCGGGUCUUUCCUUCUGGGGAACCGAUGCUCUUCAUUGAGUGUGUCGGGGAUCCAGGACUUUUACUUUGAAAAAAUUAGAGUGUACAAAGCAGGCCUAUGCUCGAAUACAUUAGCAUGGCAUAAUAGAA
rnacentral:rRNA from 1 species